UUUGACCCCGGAAGUCAGCCUCUCUGGUUCCUCCCUCUCCAAGAUGGCAGCUUCUGAAGACGGAUUAGAGUUACCUCGACUUCCUGAGCUGUUUGAAACCAGCAAACAGCUUCUGGAGGAAGUAGAAGUAACGAAUGAACCCACUGGCUCCGGGACAAUCCAGGAUAAAGUGUUCAAGGGACUGGACCUACUUGAGAAGGCUGCCGAAAUGUUAUCGCAGCUCGAUUUGUUCAGCCGAAAUGAAGAUUUAGAAGAAAUUGCUUCCAUCGAUCUGAAGUACCUGAUGGUGCCAGCGUUUCAAGGAGCCCUCACCAUGAAACAAGUCAACCCCAGCAAGCGUCUAGAUCAUUUACAGCGGGCUCGAGAACAUUUUAUAAACUACUUAACUCAGUGCCAUUAUUAUCAUGUGGCAGAGUUUCAGCUGCCCAAAACCAAUAACAACACAGCUGAAAAGAACACUGCUAGUUCCUCCGUGGCCUAUGCUAACCUCGUUACUAUGGCUUCUCAAAGAAAGGCUAAAAUAGAGAGGUACAAGCAGAAGAAAGAGGUGGAACAUAGGUUGUCUACACUAAAAUCUGCUGUGGAAAGUGGUCAAGCAGAUGAUGAGCAAGUUCGUGAAUAUUACCUCCUUCACCUUCGGAGGUGGAUUGGAAUCAGCUUAGAAGAGGUUGAGAGCAUUGACCAGGAAAUAAAGAUCCUGAGAGAAAAAGACUCUUCAAGAGAGGCAUCAACUUCUCACUCACCUCUUCAGGACAGACCUCCAGUGAAAUCCUUCAUACUCACUCGUGACAAGGCCCAAGCCAAAGUAUUUGGAGCUGGUUAUCCAAGUCUGGCAACUAUGACAGUGAGUGACUGGUAUGAACAGCAUCGGAAAUAUGGAGCAUUACCAGACCAGGGAAUAGCCAAGGCAACAUCAGGAACAGAAGUAGUCUGGGCAAAGAUUCUGAGUAAUUGAAAGAUUCUAGGCCAAAAAAGAAGAAAGAAAGAAAAAGAAAAGAAAAGAAAAGAAAAGAUUCACCAGCAGCAUAGUUUUGGAAUCUUUCUAAAUAUCAUGACAUAAGAAUAACAACCAGAUAAAAAAACUAAAAUCCAUGGACAAUAGUUCCAUUUCUGGUAUGAUGGAGCAAGUUGUACCAGGCCAACCCCUCCAGGUAAUAAUUACAAAUUGAACAAAAUACAUUUUUUUAAAAAACACAAUUACCUAAAGACUCUGAGGGUGACUAAAAGCAGGAUAAAAUGGAAGGAAGUCAGCACUUAGGAGAGAAUGGGACUUGAAAUUGCUUGAGAACAGGGACUUUGACUUCUUAUAUCCUUGGUGUCCAACUUGGUGUUGGGAUCAUAGUAGGAACUCAAAAGUGGAAGAGUUGUAAGAAGAGAGUGGCCAUCAGAAAGUUGAAAGCACUCUGGUAAAGCAGAAAAAUCAUACACAGAUCUGGAGUGACCAGUCCUUUUCCUGCCACGUAACAAUUGACACAUCAGCCUCUCUGAACUUGUUUUUUUCUUCUGACCCUCGUAAAAGCAGACAUUCUAAUUCCGACUUUAAAGUGAGAGCAUGAUCUCUGAAAACUGAUUUACCACACCAUAGUUAAUAAAUGAUUGGGCUAGGAUUUAAAUUUAGACCUUCAAAAUCCUAGUUUUAGUACUACUUCCAUUUUAGCAUAGAAAAGAUUACCAUUUAAAGAGUUUCCUGAUUUUUUUUUAAUUUUUAAAAUUUAUUUUUAUUAUUACUGCUUUUAACCUGUGGACAGACUGCAGUUUCUGUGAUGCAGAUUAGCUGAAAUGUAGAUAGAAACUUGUGAUCUUAUUGUUUGAGGAAUAAGAACUGAGUUCAGGGUAACCAUAGCAGCUAAAAAUAAAGGAUGAUAUCCAUCCUGGAGAGGAGAGAACUACAAAGGAAGAGCCUUAUUUCUGUAUAUAGACCACAUCAAAAUCACUGGCUGACUCCUGAACUCUGUUUACAGAAUGGACUCUCUAUGCACCUUAGCUAACACUAAAAUAACUCAAUGGAGAACUCAACUGUUUCCCCAUGCAAGAUAGAACUUGGCAUUUUGGUUCUAGACAAGUUAAUUGCCUUCUAGAAUUAAAAAAUCUGUAUUCUAGAGCAGUGAAACAGUACAGUGCUCCUCAGCUUAGGAUAGGUUCACAUCCUGAUGAACCCAUCAUAAACUGAAAAUGUUGUAAAUUGAAAAUGCAUUUAAUACACCUAACCUAUCAAUCAUCAUAGCUUAGACACAGCACUCUGGAGUACAGAUCAGUUAGCCUUGUGAUCUCAUGACUGACUAUUUGCCAUGGUUUAUUUCUGCCAUCAACAGAAUCAUACUGCAUAUUGCUAUCAUGGAAAAGGAUCAGUUUAAAAUUCAGAAUAGUUUUUACUGAAUAUGUAUCACUUGUGUCACUGUGUAGUCAAAAAAUAAUUUGAGCCAUCAUAAGUCAGGGGCUACCUGUAUAUUAUUCAUAAUGUCUAGAAUUCAAUCUUAAGCUAUUAGACAUGAAAAAAAAAGCCAGAAAAUGUGACUUAUUUAAGAGGAAAGGCAAUCAAUAGGUACCAGCCCCAAGAUAAUUCAGGUGUUAGAAAUAGCAUACAAGGACUUUACAUAGCUAUUAUUGUCCUUAAGAUCAGAGUAGAAAAAUGCUUGUAGUGAAUGAAAAGAUAAGUAAUCUCAGGAGAAAAACUAUACCCUAAAUAUUCUGGAACUAGAACAUAAAAUCAACUACAUAAGGUUCUACAAUAAUAACCUGGGAGAAGAGAGAACACAGUCAGCUCAAAGUAAAUAAAGGAAACAAGAAAGAGAAGUCUAGAGGUGGUGAUGGUAAUCCAUAAUCCAUGGAAAUCGAACAUGUAUACACCUCCAUGACUUAAUUGUUUUACUCCUCAGUAUAUAUGUAAGCUAAAGGAGACCAUAAUUUUUCAUGGCAUCAUUAUUUGCAGGACCCCACAGUGUACACUACUCAAAUGCCCAUAAAUAUUAAAAUAGAGACGUGAAUUUUUGUGUAUUCACACAGUGGACUUCUGUGUGGCAGUAAAAUUAAAUUAUAGUUCUUCAUCAAAUCUAGCCAAAUCUUGCAAGUCUAAUUAUGAUUUAAAAAGCCAGAUUUCAUUCCAUUCAUAUAAAGUUUAAAAACUUCAUGUGAAUUACAUGAUUCCAUUUUUAUGGAAUUCAAAAGCAGAGUGAAACUUCUAUGUGUCACUCAGUGGAAUUGGAUCUGAGGGGGCUUCUGAGGAGUAAGUAGUAUUUUGUAACUGGGUAGUGAUUAAUGGACAUGUUGAGUACAUGUGAAAAUUCAUUAAAUUAAACUUGUAUUCAUGAAGAAACAUGAAAUACUUCAAAAAUGCUAAAAACAAAAACCUCAUAGAUAUAAUUAUGAAAAUAGCUCUCAGUGUAUCCCCAUGACCCAUAAAUAAAAGCAAGUAAGGGCAAAUCACCCUUAGGCACAAUAUGAACAGGUUGUUGGUAUCUGUAGGAAACUAUCUAAAAGACUUGACAAACAAAAUUCUAAAAUAGUAUAUUCACUAAAAUGUGUGGCAGUCUGGUUUAAACACUUGAAGCUUAGAGGAGUUUUGUCUUCCAGUAAAAACUAAAUGAAUGAGUAUAGGGGUCAGAAAGUCAGAAAGAGAUGGAGCAGUUUAAUCUUUAAUACACUCUGGAAACUAAACCACCAGCUCUCCUUCCAAGACAGGGUACCACACUGCAAAGAAAUUUCUGAGAAUAGAAUUAAAAUUAAGGAGGUCAGAAAUAAUACAGAAGAAGGAAAGAGAAGAUCCAUGUAAAAGUAGGAGAACCAGAAGCAGGAAUUUUAAGCAAGUCACCCUAUUUCUUUAACAUAUGUAAAAACAGCAGAAAUGAGGCUACUAUGAAGUUUGAAAAGCCUCUCUGAAUACAUGUUUGUAAAGGAUCAGGAGAACAUUUCACAUUUUCUUGUAUGACAAACUCAAUUAUAAAUAAAGAGCAAAAUAAAAGAUAAUGGGAAGUAGAGGAUCAGGAAAUGAAAAGAAGAGGAAGGGGAAGAAAGGGGGAUAUAAAAGUAAUUCAGAGUGUUAUGUACAUGUACCAACUCUACACAAGGAAUGUAAACAUGUACUACACACAUGUACUAAUAAAACAUUUUUAAAUGAUUAAAUUAUGUUUGCACAACUCUUAAUAUAUCACAACCCACUGAACCUAUUUUAGUGUAUGAAUUUUAUGGUAUGUGAAAUAAAUCUCAAAGUUGUUUUUAAAAAUGAACAGAAUUAUCAAGAUUAAAUCACACACAAAAUUAUUUUAAGGGGAAAAGAUCAUUUGAAAACACUGCAGAAAGAUGUACUCAAAAAACAACAAAUCUUAAUCUGAACAUAUUUUUUUAAAAUGAGUCAGAAGGUGUUUUGAAAAUAACAAAACAGGGAAGGACCACAUAAAGUAGAAUUAGAGAAACUUUAGAAAUGUGGUAACAACUUCUGGAAAGGAAUAAUUUCAGACAGGAAAGCUAAAGUAGAAGACAAGAAUGAAUAAACACAAAAAAUGCUCUACUGAGGUAGAAAUGGAAUAUUUUUAAAAGCUAAGGAAGUGAGAUUUGAGAUAAAGUGACAUAUUAAAGAUGGCAAAAAAGAUCUGGCAUAUGAAUAAUGAGAGUAUCUGAAGAACAACGCAAGGAAAAAGAAUAAUGCUAAAAACUAAUAUUAAGGAAACUUUCCUGAAAGUAAAAAAAAAAAGAUGAAAAAGCAUACAAUAUAGCUGAGAAUUUUGACCCAAAAUGACCAAUGCACACAUUCUAAAAAAUUAUUAGACUUCAAAGAAAAAAUACUAUGGACAUCUCAGUAAAAACAGCACAUGACUGACUUACAAAGAGACUUACAUUACCUUUAAGUUUUUCUAUACUCAUACUUUAUGCCACAAAAAUAUAAAUUUCUCUCUCUCUCUCUCUCUCUCUCUCUCUCCCUCUCUCCCUCUCCCCUAAAGCUCAUGUAAACAUACAUUGUAGGAGCUUGUUUGCUUCCUGUAAGUAUGGUGGUCCACUUCCCGAGGUAUGAAGGAGCCAGAGAAAAUAAUUUGAAAACAAAACAAAAAAAAUUAUUAAAGCACAGGGCUGGCGACACAGCCUCCAGUAGUCAGUAUGGAAGACUACACACCUUACAGCUAAAGGGCAGGGUUUUAUCCUGUAAAACUGCAAACAUCUGCUGGUCUCACAAUGCAGGCAGGGUGGGUUCUCAGCACACUACAGGACAGGAACAUGGAGGUUGCAUUUCUUGGGAAGAACGAGGUUCAGGUAGGGGUUGGGCUAACAAGCAAGUUUAAAUUAGGCAAACAUCCUCUGGGGAAGGCACAUGCUGCAAACAAGCAAGUUUAGAUUAGGAAGACAUCCUGUUCUUCUGUUAGAGUUACCUUUGAUCUUUCUCUUGCCUCUGAGGAGAUUUAUGAGGGUUUUAUAUAUAUAUAUAUAUAUAUAUAUAUAUAUAUAUAUAUAUAUAUAUAUGACCUUUAAGACGUUAGAAUCUCCUCACUUCUCACUAUUCAGUGUUUUUGUAAUUAUUCCUUGACUUAAUUUCAAAGAGGACUGUUUUCAAUCCGGCUGGUCCUUUCUUUUGCCUGUGGAAAAAAUAUAUAGUAAAUAUUUAAGAUAUCCAAAAGGUUAGAGAACAAAAAGCCUUAUAGUACUGCAUAUGAAUUCCUGGAAAAUUAUGCUUAAAAGUAAAAGCACAUACGACUGAUCUAUCCACCAAAGAGGUUCACAAGCUAGGCGUGGUACUUGUAAUCCUAGCACUCAGGAGGCUGAGGCAGAGGAACACUAUGAGUUGGAGGCCAGCCUAAAUUACAGAAUGAGACCCUGUCUCAAAAAACAACAAAAACAAAGGCUUAGAAACAAGAGCUAGCCCAGUAGUGAUGAAUAUACCUAGUAACCUAGAUUGUAUAUGAAGAUACCAUUCCCAUUCUAAGAAAAAAAUCAAGAUAUCUUAGAUAGCUAAUUUCAGGUAUAGGACAGGAUGUGUCUGAGAUUAGUUUGGAAAAAUUAGGCAUGAACAAUAGGGAAGAAACUUUCAAAGACUACUAGGAUUAUAUCACAAGGACUCAAUAGCCAGUUUGAUGUUUUCAUUGGCCAGUUGGGCUUAAAAAAGUGUAUGAAUUUAGUGACUAGGGAUAUAGCUCAGUGGUAAAGCACCUGCUUACCAAACACAGAGCCCUGGGUUCAUUCCGAGUAGCACACACAGCAAAAACAAUUGAUAGUAGUAGUGAGUACAUUUAGUGGCCAAAUCUUGAUUGCUUUUAAAAUUUUUAUUCACAUACAAAUUGUACAUGUUUAUAAAGUAUCAUGUGAUCUUUCAAUACUGUGUAUAUCAGUGUUCAAAUCAGGAUAAAUCUUUUUCCACAGAGAUACGUAAUUUGUCAUUGUAAAAACAUUCAAAAUCUAUUUUGCUAGCUUUGUGUCUUUUGAGUGCUGGGGAUGGAACCCAGGGCCUUUAAUUUGGCAGGUACUAUACACUGAGCUGAAACACCAACCCUUUUCUAGCUGUUUUUUCAAAUACACAGUAGAUUAACAUUGUCAGUCACCCUGCUGUGUAAUAGAGCACCAGAACCACUUUUCCUACCUGAUAAUACCCAUUAAGCCUUUCCCUAUAUUUCCCACUUUCCCCAAUCUCUGCUAACCACCAUUCUAUUCUUAAGUCCUAUGAGAUCAAAUUUAAUUCCACUUGACUGAGUUCAUGUGGUACUGUUCUCUCUGUGCCUAGCUUAUUUCAGUUACCAUGGUGUCACAUUUGAUGGGAUCUCAACCUUUUUAUUGCUGAAUAGUAUUCCAAUGUGUAUAUGUACAUUUUCUUUAUUCAUUCCACAAUAGGUGGCCACUUAGGUUGAUUGCAUUUUUGGGCUACUGUUGAGUUCUGUAAUAAACAUGGGAGAUUUCUGUUUAACAGACAGAUUACACUUCCUUUGGAUAUAUGCCAGGUCUGGGAUGGCUGGGUAAUGUCAUUCUGUUUUUAAUUUUUGAGGAACCUUUUCACUGUUUUCCAUAGUUAACAUCUUAAUUUUACUGUAAAUUUAAAAUUUUAAAGUUGUUUUUUGUGUUUUGGUUUUGUGUGUGUGUGUGUGUGUGUGUGUGUGUGUGUGUGUGUUUACUGGGGAUUGAACUCACGACCUCACGUUUACCCAGCAAGCGCUUGAGCCACUGAGCUAAAUCCCUGGCUCUAAUGUUAAAUUUUUUAAAGUAUUUUUAAAAAGCAUUGCAGUUGAUUGAAACCUAUUAAAUAUGUUUAAUGUCUUAUUUUUCUCUCAUUGCUGAGACAAAAUACCCUGUGCCACAAAAAAGGAAAGGUUUAUUUAGCUCACAGUCUGUAGAAGUUUUAGUCCAUAAUAAGCUAGCUCCAGGGCAGGGCGACAUGGCAUAGUAGCGACAGUUCAAGACAGCAGAAGAUACCAAAAACAAAAAGAGCAAAAGUGGGUGGGGGAAGCAAUCUUUUUUACCUCCCUUAUAUUGUAAGCCAGCCACCUGCCCGUGAGUGGGUAUAGCUCAUCAUCUCCUUGCCUUCCUCUUGCACAGGCUCAGUAUGUUUAGAAAGUGAGGACCCUGGCCCCCUGCUGAGUCACUUACACUUCUGAACUUCUCAGGCUGACACAAUGAACAUUUUACAGGGAUAGGAGCAUGCCCUGUAAAUAUUAGGAUAUAGAACUGCUGAGUUACUUAGUUAAGUUUCUAAACUUCUCAAAUUGACACAGUAUAUCAGAUAUUACAAACCACCCCUUGGCAACUUGGCAGUCAGACACAUUUCUUUAAACUAGUUUCCAGAUACAAUGACAUGCUUAUUAUCAUUUCACAACUUGAAUAUUAUAACACAGAUUUAAAACUCCUUAAGAACCAGUACUAAGUCUAUCAGCGUUACAUUACAUUAGAAUCAUAACAUCCCACCUGUGGCCCUCACAGACUUACGCACAUCCCUUUAUGCAAAAGGCAUUUGACUAAGAGUUGCCAAAGUCCUAACAGGUUCAGGCACAAAGUCCAAGUCCAGAGUCUUCUGAGAUGUAAGGCAAACACUUAGUUGCAAGCCCCUGUACAAAUGAAAAAUUAGACAACGUCCACCAUUCAGCGGCACAAAAUAAACAUUUUCAUUCCAAAAGUUAGAAAUGGGAAUACAAAGGAUUGGUACCAAAACAAGUCCAGAAUCCAGCAGGGCAAACAGCAAGUCCUGUAGUUCCACAUGCAGCAUUUGAAGCAAUCUGUGGCAAAUUGUGAGCUCCAAAGGGCUUGAGUGACUCCACCCUUAUGGCACUUCUGGUGGUCACAGUUCCCACAGCUUCUCUCUUAGGCGUGCUUUGCUCCCUCCUUUUAUCUUUCCUUAGAUGAUCCACAUUCCUGGCUGAGGUUUCCACUGAACCUUCAGCUUCACACUUGGAGCUUCACACACUACUCUCUCAGGAGCACACUGCCUGAAAUUGGAGUGGAAGCCGUUUUAACUUUUAACUCUUGCUUUCUGUAUGCACCCAAAACCAGCACCACAUGGGUGACACCAGGGUCUGCUGCCAGCUAGAACAGUAUGCAGGUUUCUUUCCUCUUGGCUGUAGAGAUCAAGUGCCUGGAUUGCUGGUCAUUCUGAAUCAAUUUCUUUCUUUCUUUCUUUCUUUUUUUUUUUUUUUUUUUGGUCUUUUUGAGAGGGUUUCUCUAUGCAGUUCAGGCUGGCCCUGAGCUCACUUUGUAGCCCAGGCUGGUCUUGAACUCAGAAUGAUCCUCCUGCCCCAGCCUCCCGAGUGCUGGGAUUAUAGGCAUGAGCCACCACACCCAGCCCUGAAUCAAUUUCUGAAGAACAGAUUUUCUAUGCUGCCACCAUUCUGGCACACGGUGCUCUGAGGCUUUCUGAAAGCAGAACCUUACACCUUUGCACUUUUGAGGCUUUCAGGGUGGAAACUUGCUGCUGCUUAUGAUGUCCUCUGGCUAUCUUAUAUUCUCCUGUUCCUUCUCAGCAAUUGAGAGAUCUCCUCAGCUGUACCUUUGCAGACAACAACACCUUUGCUGGAUCUUUCUGUCCAAACUCACAACAUUUUAAGUCAUCCUGCUGGGCUCCUUGCUCUUUGAUUUUCAACAUAGAUGUGGCUCAAAGCCCCAAUCAGCAACCAUGCUACAGCCUCAACAUUCAACUGCUCUGAAAUUUCUUCUGCCACACUAGUUAAUCUGUCACCCUCAGUCUCAGACUCAGGCAAAAUCUUGACACAAGGAAAAUGAAGAUAAGCUUUCUGCCAAGCUAUAACAAAUCAUCUGGGAUCCAACAGCCAGUAUAGUCCUCCUUAGCAGAAAUGUCCCAAACCUGAUUUUUACUGGCAGGAUUUCUAUGAGCCUCUCUGGUCUUCUGAGCUCUGACCAGAAUCGCCAAUACAGAACAGCAUUUCAGCUCUGCUCUUUGAGGCAAUAUCUCCUAACCUUUCCAAUUUCUAAGCCCAUAAUUAUAUUUUAAAACAAAAACAGAUUGGUAUAAUAGGGAACCUGGUAAAUGAUAGGAAAGAAUCUUGUAUUCAUCUUUUGCACUGGCUGACUAAACAGUGAUAAAUGAGGGGAAGCUCCUCUUUAUAAAAGUACUCCAGUUAUAGCUUCCAUGGCUUCUCUCUCAGGCAUGCUUUGUUCCCUCGUAUCUGUCCUUAGAUAGUUGCCUGAUUUCAUUGCUUUUAGUACUGUGGUGAGGCAGGACAUCAAGAUGGGGAGCAUGUAACAAAGCAAAGCUCCUCGUCAUGAUGGCUGGGAAGCAAAGAGGGAAAGGGGGCUGGGGCCCCACUAUCUGGUUCAAACACAUCCCCAAAACUUGAAGACUUACCAUCAGGUCCCAUAUCCUAAAGGUUCCACCAGCUUCUUCAAUGGAACAUUGGUUUAUUUCUUUAAUAUAUUUGAGUAGUUUCCAGUAUUUUUUUAUUUUACAAUAAAGAGGUUGAAAAGAAUACCAGAGGGGCUGGGGAUUUAGCUCAGCGGCACAAGCGCCUGCCUUGCAAGCAGGCAGUCGUGAGUUCGAUCCCUGGUACCGAUAAAAACGAAAAAGACAAAAAAGAAAAUGAAAAAAAAAAAAAAAAAAGAAAAGAAUACAAGUUGUUAGAUCAGAUCCCCACACAUUUCAUUCUUUGUUAUGUAGAAUAUUUCUCAUGGCAAAUUCAGGGUAGCCAGAAAAAUACUGCUUUGGAUUCACCAAAAAAAAAACAAAACAAAACAAAACAAACAAACAAACAAACAAAAAAAACCAUGCAAAGAGAGAUAGCAGUUUGUUCAUUUCUUUUUAGUGUACACAUUCUAGUAAGUUCCAUUAGAACCUCAGAACGGAUCUUAGCACAUACAAAGCACAUAAGCAUUCUCUUCUUGUGGGUCCAACUGCCCUGUGGUUUUCAGUCUUAACAAAAAUUGUAUUACUAGGCCAGGUAUAGUGUACACCCGUAAUUCCAGAAGUCUUGAAGGCUGAGGAAAGAGGAUUACAAGUUCAAGCCUAGCCUGGGUAACUUAGCUACUUAACUUGACCUUGUCUCAAAACGUAAAAAGGGCUGGAGAUACAGAUCAGUGUGAAGGCCUUUGGUUCAGUCCACAGCUGAUGCAUACAUACACGUAACUGUAAUAAAGGAAAUGAGUGGAAUAGGAAAAAAUCACCUGUAGUCCCUCUUUCCUGGUGAUUCAUAAGUCGUAAAACCAUAAAUAUUUUUCUUUUAGUUGGUUGUUGAUUUUACUUUUAUUGAUAGUGAUGUUUUUAUUUUGAGGACAGGAGUUUUGGGCCAUUAGCAAAAAUUCUUUACCAAAAUGGAAUUCAUUCUGGAGGGGACACUUCUGUGUUUUUAGCUUCUUGUGAAAACUACCAGAGCAUCUUUUCUUACUAUUUAGUAUGUAAUACAUAAAGCAACAAAAAUACUCUUCCCCACCUCUGCUGGGCCCCUUGUUCCCUUAUCAUCUGAGAUUAUAUUGAGAGUGCAGGUGAACUCCCUACAUUUUUGUUAGCAUACUCUCAAUAUCAUGCCCUUUUUUUCAUUUUCUGACUUUAGUUGAUUUCAGAAGAGUGGCUCAGCAACAGGAAGAUGAAGAAAAGGAAAAAGAGGAUGAUGA